rnacentral:rRNA from 1 species
GACGAACGCUGGCGGCGUGCUUAACACAUGCAAGCCGAACGGAAAGGCCCCCACCUUGGUGGGGGUGCUCGAGUGGCGAACGGGUGAGUAACACGUGGGUGAUCUGCCCUGUACUUCGGGAUAAGCUUGGGAAACUGGGUCUAAUACCGGAUAGGACCAUGGUUUAGUGUCUCAUGGUGGAAAGAUUAUUGUUUUGGUGCAGGAUGAGCUCGCGGCCUAUCAGCUUGUUGGUGGGGUAAUGGCCUACCAAGGCGUCGACGGGUAGCCGGCCUGAGAGGGUGGACGACCACAUUGGGACUGAGAUACGGCCCAGACUCCUACGGGAGGCAGCAGUGGGGAAUAUUGCACAAUGGGCGCAAGCCUGAUGCAGCGACGCCGCGUGGGGGAUGACGGCCUUCGGGUUGUAAACUCCUUUCGUUAGGAACGAAGCCGCACUUUUUUUGGGCGUGGUGACGGUACCUUUGUUAAGAAGCACCGGCUAACUACGUGCCAGCAGCCGCGGUAAUACGUAGGGUGCGAGCGUUGUCCGGAAUUACUGGGCGUAAAGAGCUCGUAGGUGGUUUGUUGCGUCGUCUGUGAAAUUCCGGGGCUUAACUUCGGGGUGGCAGGCGAUACGGGCAUAACUAGAGUGCUGUAGGGGAGACUGGAAUUCCUGGUGUAGCGGUGGAAUGCGCAGAUAUCAGGAGGAACACCGAUGGCGAAGGCAGGUCUCUGGGCAGUAACUGACGCUGAGGAGCGAAAGCAUGGGGAGCGAACAGGAUUAGAUACCCUGGUAGUCCAUGCUGUAAACGGUGGGCGUUAGGUGUGGGGACCGGUUUGGUUUCUGUGCCGUAGCUAACGCAUUAAGCGCCCCGCCUGGGGAGUACGGCCGCAAGGCUAAAACUCAAAGGAAUUGACGGGGGCCCGCACAAGCGGCGGAGCAUGUGGAUUAAUUCGAUGCAACGCGAAGAACCUUACCUGGGUUUGACAUGCACCAGACGGUUGUAGAGAUACGUACCUCCCUUUGUGGUUGGUGUGCAGGUGGUGCAUGGUUGUCGUCAGCUCGUGUCGUGAGAUGUUGGGUUAAGUCCCGCAACGAGCGCAACCCUUGUCUUAUGUUGCCAGCACGUUUUGGGUGGGGACUCAUGAGAGACUGCCGGGGUUAACUCGGAGGAAGGUGGGGAUGACGUCAAAUCAUCAUGCCCUUUAUGCCCAGGGCUUCACACAUGCUACAAUGGUUAGUACAACGCGCUGCGAGCCUGUGAGGGUGAGCGAAUCGCUGAAAGCUAAUCUCAGUUCGGAUUGGGGUCUGCAACUCGACCCCAUGAAGUCGGAGUCGCUAGUAAUCGCAGAUCAGCAAUGCUGCGGUGAAUACGUUCCCGGGCCU